rnacentral:rRNA from 1 species
UUCAAGGUGCUGCAUGGUUGUCGUCAGCUCGUGCCGUGAGGUGUCGGGUUAAGUCCCGCAACGAGCGCAACCCUGACCUUAGUUGCCAGCAUUCAGUUGGGCACUCUAAGGUGACUGCGGCUAAAAGUCGGAGGAAGUGGGGAUGACGUCAAAUCAUCAUGCCCCUUAUGACCUGGGCUACACACGUGCUACAAUGGGCGGUACAAAGGGUCGCGAACCCGCGAGGGGGAGCCAAUCCCAAAAAGCCGCUCUCAGUUCGGAUUGCAGGCUGCAACUCGCCUGCAUGAAGCCGGAAUCGCUAGUAAUCGCGGAUCAGCAUGCCGCGGUGAAUACGUUUCCGGGCCUU